GACGAACACUGGCGGCGUGCCUAAUACAUGCAAGUAGAACGAAGAAGGAGGAGCUUGCUUCUCUGGAUGAGUUGCGAACGGGUGAGUAACGCGCAGGUAACAUGCCCGGUAGCGGGGGAUAACUAUUGGAAACGACAGCUAAUACCGCAUAAUAGAAGAUGUUGCAUGUCAUUUGAUUAAAAGAUGCAAUUGCAUCACUACUAGAUGGACCUGCGUUGUAUUAGCUAGUUGGUGGGGUAACGGCUCACCAAGGCGACGAUACAUAGCCGACCUGAGAGGGGGAUCGGCCACACUGGGACUGGGACACGGCCCAGACUCCUACGGGAGGCAGCAGUAGGGGAUCUUCGGCAAAAGACGGAAGGCUGACCGAGCAACGCCGCGGGGGUGAAUAAGGUUUUCGGAUCGUAAAGCUCUGUUGUAAGAGAAGAAAGAGUGUGAGAGUUGAAAGUUCACGCUUUGACGGUAUCUAACCAGAAAGGGACGGCUAACUACGUG
rnacentral:rRNA from 1 species